ACGUAGGUGGCGAGCGUUAUCCGGAAUUAUUGGGCGUAAAGAGGGAGCAGGCGGCAACAAGGGUCUGUGGUGAAAGACCGAAGCUUAACUUCGGUAAGCCAUGGAAACCGUGGAGCUAGAGUGCGUGAGAGGAUCGUGGAAUUCCAUGUGUAGCGGUGAAAUGCGUAGAUAUAUGGAGGAACACCAGUGGCGAAGGCGACGGUCUGGCGCGCAACUGACGCUCAGUCCCGAAAGCGUGGGGAGCAAAUAG
rnacentral:rRNA from 1 species